GUGUGCAAUCAUACCAGCAACAAUGCACCGGAUCCCAUCAAAAUUCCGCAGUUAAGUGUGCUUGGGCGCGAGUAUUACAAGGAUGGGUGACCUCCUAGGGAGUCCUCUAUUGCACCCC
rnacentral:rRNA from 1 species